rnacentral:rRNA from 1 species
GACGGGGCCGCACAAGCGGUGGAGCAUGUGUUUAAUUCGAAGCAACGCGAAGAACCUUACCAGGUCUUGACAUCCCGAUGCUAUUUCUAGAGAUAGAAGUUACUUCGGUACAUCGGUGACAGGUGGUGCAUGGUUGUCGUCAGCUCGUGUCGUGAGAUGUUGGGUUAAGUCCCGCAACGAGCGCAACCCCUAUUGUUAGUUGCCAUCAUUCAGUUGGGCACUCUAGCGAGACUGCCGGUAAUAAACCGGAGGAAGGUGGGGAUGACGUCAAAUCAUCAUGCCCCUUAUGACCUGGGCUACACACGUGCUACAAUGGUUGGUACAACGAGUUGCGAGUCGGUGACGGCGAGCUAAUCUCUUAAAGCCAAUCUCAGUUCGGAUUGUAGGCUGCAACUCGCCUACAUGAAGUCGGAAUCGCUAGUAAUCGCGGAUCAGCACGCCGCGGUGAAUACGUUCCCGGGCCUU